GCAACUUUGAGCAAUCUCUCUUUCCUUCUCAUCAAUUUGAUAUUUAAUCAGAGUCAUCCCACCUAAAUCCCUAACUAAAAAAAAUGUGGGUUCAUUAGAAAAUCAACGGGUAGUUUUUAUGAGGUUCUGAACUCUCCUGGGCUCUCAUAAAGACAGAAAAAUUGGUAUGUUGAUUGGGUUGUGCUACUAAGGAUAGAGAAGAAUACAAGAGACAAAAACACACAAUAUUUACAAUGAUAUUGUCGAUCAUGUUACAACAAUCAUAUUAUUUCUUUGAUUGCCCAUAUAUUUGAUGUUGUAAGAACAACUUCAACUCAUUACAUACAAUAAAUAAACCAAGAAACACACUGAUCCUCGUAUCUUAAAGAGGUGUUAGACAAACCAGCUUUGCAGUCUGAUAAUAUAACAGCACCAACCAUGGUGAAUAACACCAGCACAAUCAGUUCAGAAGUAGGCACACUUGCAAGCAUACGGACACUUGCAACACGGCCGAGGCAUCAUACAGGGCCUCUUGGGAGGUUCCAUUGAUGACAACCAAUGCACAACCGCUAACAAAAGCAACGGCACUGCAAUAAGCCCCCAAUUUAUCUUCAAACUGGGGGCUUCGAUCUCGAAAGAGAUCAAAGAUGACAGAAGAAGAAGUAGAGCGACCACUGCCAAGAAAAGCAGAACUGGGUAGGAUGAGGGGGCUUCUCUUCUACAACAGUGACAGCCCAUCACAAUUCAAGGGGCUUUGUCAAUGGGAGUAGUUGUUUUACAGGGAAAAAAAAAUGUAGAUGGAAACUGAAAACCCAGUUGACGUAUAAACGAAGACUUCUAUAUAUCCUAGUCUAAUCUCAACCGCACAAGUAUUGGUGUUUGCUUUUGGACUCGGCUUUUG
rnacentral:lncRNA from 1 species